AAAUAAGAAGCAAAAUUUGCAAUUAGUUUCGACCUAAAAGUCUGAUGAUUUAUCAUCCUUAUUUU
rnacentral:tRNA from 1 species